rnacentral:rRNA from 1 species
GGGAUAAGCGCUGGAAACGGCGUCUAAUACCGGAUACGAGCUGCGAAGGCAUCUUCAGCAGCUGGAAAGAACUUCGGUCAGGGAUGAGCUCGCGGCCUAUCAGCUAGUUGGUGAGGUAACGGCUCACCAAGGCGUCGACGGGUAGCCGGCCUGAGAGGGUGACCGGCCACACUGGGACUGAGACACGGCCCAGACUCCUACGGGAGGCAGCAGUGGGGAAUAUUGCACAAUGGGCGCAAGCCUGAUGCAGCAACGCCGCGUGAGGGACGACGGCCUUCGGGUUGUAAACCUCUUUUAGCAGGGAAGAAGCGAAAGUGACGGUACCUGCAGAAAAAGCACCGGCUAACUACGUGCCAGCAGCCGCGGUAAUACGUAGGGUGCAAGCGUUAUCCGGAAUUAUUGGGCGUAAAGAGCUCGUAGGCGGUUUGUCGCGUCUGCUGUGAAAACCCGAGGCUCAACCUCGGGCCUGCAGUGGGUACGGGCAGACUAGAGUGCGGUAGGGGAGAUUGGAAUUCCUGGUGUAGCGGUGGAAUGCGCAGAUAUCAGGAGGAACACCGAUGGCGAAGGCAGAUCUCUGGGCCGUAACUGACGCUGAGGAGC